UCUGGGGUAUGGCGUUAAGUACAGUGAAGCUAUCACCUCAAA
rfam:Pan troglodytes ctg_39590, whole genome shotgun sequence.